rnacentral:rRNA from 1 species
CAGCCGCCACGGUAAUACGGAGGGGGCUAGCGUUGUUCGGAAUUACUGGGCGUAAAGCGCACGUAGGCGGCUAUGUAAGUUAGAGGUGAAAGCCUGGAGCUCAACUCCAGAAUUGCCUUUAAGACUGCCGAGCUAGCAGGUGAGAGAGGUAAGUGGAAUUCCGAGUGUAGAGGUGAAAUUCGUAGAUAUUCGGAAGAACACCAGUGGCGAAGGCGGCUUACUGGCUCAUACUGGACGCUGAGGUGCGAAAGCGUGGGGAGCAAACAGGAUUAGAGACCCCCGUAGUCCCUGUCUCUUAUAC